GUGGGGAAUAUUGGACAAUGGGGGGAACCCUGAUCCAGCCAUGCCGCGUGUGUGAAGAAGGCCUUUUGGUUGUAAAGCACUUUAAGCGAGGAGGAGGCUACCGAGAUUAAUACUCUUGGAUAGUGGACGUUACUCGCAGAAUAAGCACCGGCUAACUCUGUGCCAGCAGCCGCGGUAAUACAGAGGGUGCAAGCGUUAAUCGGAUUUACUGGGCGUAAAGCGCGCGUAGGUGGCCAAUUAAGUCAAAUGUGAAAUCCCCGAGCUUAACUUGGGAAUUGCAGUCGAUACUGGUUGGCUAGAGUAUGGGAGAGGAUGGUAGAAUUCCAGGUGUAGCGGUGAAAUGCGUAGAGAUCUGGAGGAAUACCGAUGGCGAAGGCAGCCAUCUGGCCUAAUACUGACACUGAGGUGCGAAAGCAUGGGGAGCAAACAGGAUUAGAUACCCCUGUAGUCC
rnacentral:rRNA from 1 species